rnacentral:tRNA from 1 species
GGUGGUAUAGCUCAAGCGGUAGAGCAACAUCCUUUUAAGUUGAAGAUUGCAGGUUCGAGUCCUGCUGCCACCA